GAUGAACGCUGGCGGCGUGCCUAAUACAUGCAAGUCGAGCGAACAGACGAGGAGCUUGCUCCUCUGACGUUAGCGGCGGACGGGUGAGUAACACGUGGAUAACCUACCUAUAAGACUGGGAUAACUUCGGGAAACCGGAGCUAAUACCGGAUAAUAUAUUGAACCGCAUGGUUCAAUAGUGAAAGACGGUUUUGCUGUCACUUAUAGAUGGAUCCGCGCCGCAUUAGCUAGUUGGUAAGGUAACGGCUUACCAAGGCAACGAUGCGUAGCCGACCUGAGAGGGGGGUCGGCCGCACUGGAACUGAGACACGGUCCAGACUCCUACGGGAGGCAGCAGUAGGGAAUCUUCCGCAAUGGGCGAAAGCCUGACGGAGCAACGCCGCGUGAGUGAUGAAGGUCUUCGGAUCGUAAAACUCUGUUAUUAGGGAAGAACAAAUGUGUAAGUAACUAUGCACGUCUUGACGGUACCUAAUCAGAAAGCCACGGCUAACUACGUG
rnacentral:rRNA from 1 species